rnacentral:rRNA from 1 species
CCAAUAGCGUAUAUUAAAGUUGUUGCAGUUAAAAAGCUCGUAGUUGAACCUCGGGGUCUACCUAUUGGUCAGGCUUAAUUGUCUGCACCGGUGAGAUGGAUCUCUACCUUCUGAGGAACUUUCAUGCCAUUUAUUUGGUGUGAUGGGAAAUCAGGACUGUUACUUUGAAAAAAUUAGAGUGUUUAAAGCAGACUAUCGUCUGAAUACAUUAGCAUGGAAUAAUGAAAUAGGACGGACUGAUUCUAUUUCGUUGGUUUUUAGGAUCACCGUAAUGAUUAAUAGGGAUAGUUGGGGGCAUUAGUAUUCAAUUGUCAGAGGUGAAAUUCUUGGAUUUAUUGAAGACUAACUACUGCGAAAGCAUUUGCCAAGGAUGUUUUCAUUAAUCAAGAACGAAAGUUAGGGGAUCGAAGACGAUCAGAUACCGUCGUAGUCUUAACCAUAAACUAUGCCGACUAGGGAUCGGACGAAGUUAAUUUUAUAAUGACGCGUUCGGCACCUUACG